ensembl:scaRNA
GGUGAGAUGAUUACAAAAAAUGUAUCCUAUAUGUAAAACACACUGUGAGCGUGGGUGUGGGAGUGCGUGUGCGCGCGUGGGGCGAGCAAGGCGAGUGUGUGUGUCUGCCCCGCGCCCCUCCCCCGCCUACACCUUGAUCUUAUUUGAUCGGGUCGUGACCCCCGCCCCGCCGGGCCGCCCGAAAUUUGUG